rnacentral:rRNA from 1 species
AUUGAACGCUGGCGGCAUGCCUUACACAUGCAAGUCGAACGGAUUUUGGGGCUUGCUCCAAAGUUAGUGGCGAACGGGUGAGUAAAGCAUCGGAACGUACCCAGUCGUGGGGGAUAACGUAGCGAAAGUUACGCUAAUACCGCAUACGAUCUGAGGAUGAAAGCGGGGGACCUUCGGGCCUCGCGCGAUUGGAGCGGCCGAUGUCGGAUUAGCUAGUUGGUGAGGUAAAGGCUCACCAAGGCGACGAUCCGUAGCUGGUCUGAGAGGACGACCAGCAACACUGGGACUGAGACACGGCCCAGACUCCUACGGGAGGCAGCAGUGGGGAAUUUUGGACAAUGGGCGAAAGCCUGAUCCAGCCAUGCCGCGUGAGUGAAGAAGGCCUCCGGGUUGUAAAGCUCUUUCAGACGGAAAGAAAUCUCUCGGGUGAAUACAGGGGGCUCAUGACGGUACCGUAAGAAUAAGCACCGGCUAACUACGUGCCAGCCGCCGCAGUAA